GUAGGUGAACCUGCGGAGGGAUCAUUACCGAGUGAGGGGGCCUCGCGCCCUCGACCUCCCAACCCUUUGUUUGAUACAACCCUGUUGCCUCGGGGGCGAUGACCCGGCCUCGCGUCGGGCGUCCCCAGAGGACCAAUCAAUUCUGCAUCUUUGCGUCGGAGUAUUGAAAGCAAAUCAAUCAAAACUUUCAACAACGGAUCUCUUGGUUCUGGCAUCGAUGAAGAACGCAGCAUCUGACUGACUGAACUGU
rnacentral:misc_RNA from 1 species